AGAGUUUGAUCAUGGCUCGAGGACGACGCUGGCGGUGUGCUUCACACAUGCAAGUCGAACGAGGUAGCAAUACCUAGUGGCGGACGGGUGAGUAACGCGUGGGAAUCUGCCUUUAGAUGGGGGAUAACGGGUCGAAAGACUCGCUAAUACCGCAUAUGACGAAAGUUGAAAGGAGUAAUCCGUCUAAAGAUGAGCCCGCGUCCGAUUAGCUAGUUGGUAGAGUAAAAGCCUACCAAGGCGACGAUCGGUAGCUGGUCUGAGAGGAUGAUCAGCCACAAUGGGACUGAGACACGGCCCAUACUCCUACGGGAGGCAGCAGUGGGGAAUUUUACGCAAUGGGCGAAAGCCUGACGUAGCGACACCGCGUGAGCGAAGAAGCCCCUUGGGGUGUAAAGCUCUGUCAGCUGGAACGAAAAAAUGACGGUACCAGCAGAGGAAGCAUCGGCUAACUACGUG
rnacentral:rRNA from 1 species